rnacentral:rRNA from 1 species
UGGGGAAUCUUGCGCAAUGGGCGAAAGCCUGACGCAGCGACGCCGCGUGCGGGAAGAAGGCCUUCGGGUUGUAAACCGCUUUCAGGAGGGAAGAAGCGAAAGUGACGGUACCUCCAGAAGAAGGACCGGCCAACUACGUGCCAGCAGCCGCGGUAAUACGUAGGGUCCAAGCGUUGUCCGGAAUUAUUGGGCGUAAAGAGCUCGUAGGCGGUCCAUUAAGUCAGAAGUGAAAUCUCAGGGCUCAACCCUGAAAUUGCUCCUGAUACUGGUGGACUUGAGGUAGGUAGGGGAAGGUGGAAUUCCUGGUGUAGCGGUGAAAUGCGCAGAUAUCAGGAGGAACACCGGUGGCGAAGGCGGCCUUCUGGGCCUUACCUGACGCUGAGGAGCGAAAGCGUGGGGAGCGAACAGG